rnacentral:rRNA from 1 species
CAAUAGCGUAUAUUAAAGUUGUUGCGGUUAAAAGCUCGUAGUUGGAUUUCUGCCGAGGACGACCGGUCCGCCCUCUGGGUGAGUAUCUGGCUCGGCCUGGGCAUCUUCUUGGAGAACGUAGCUGCACUUGACUGUGUGGUGCGGUAUCCAGGACUUUACUUGAGGAAAUUAGAGUGUUCACGGCAGGCAAGCGCCUUGAAUAUAUUAGCAUGGAAUAAUAAUAUAGGACUUUGGUUUCUAUUUUGUUGGUUCUAGGACUAAAGUAAUGAUUAAUAGGAUAAUUGGGGGCAUUUGUAUUAACGCGUCAGAGGUGGAAUUCUUGGAUUGCGUUACGACAAACUACUGCGAAAGCAUUUGCCAAGGAUGUUUUCAUUGAUCAAGAACGAAAGUAUGGGGAUCGAAGAUGAUCAGAU